rnacentral:rRNA from 1 species
CCCUUAGAUGUUCUGGGCCGCACGCGCGCUACACUGAUGCAUUCAACGAGUCUAAAACCUGCUCUGAUAGGGGUGGGUAAUCUUUUGAAUGUGCAUCGUGAUUGGGAUAGAUGAUUGCAAUUUUUCAUCUUCAACGAGGAAUGCCUAGUAAACGCAAGUCAUCAGCUUGCAUUGAUUACGUCCCUGCCCUUUGUACACACCGCCCGUCGCUCCUACCGAUUGAAUGAUCCGAUGAAUAUCAUGGAUUGAGGAUGCAAAUAGGUUCGCCUAUCUUCAUCUUCGAGAAGUGAAGUAAAUCUUAUCAUUUAGAGGAAGGAGAAGUCGUAACA